GCGAUCAUACCAGCACUAAUGCACCGGAUCCCAUCAGAACUCCGAAGUUAAGCGUGCUUGGGCGAGAGUAGUACUAAUGGGUGACCUCCUGGGAAGUCCUCGUGUUGCACCCC
rnacentral:rRNA from 1 species